rnacentral:tRNA from 1 species
AAGUAAGAAGCAAUAAAUUGCAUCUAGUUUCGACCUAGGAGUUUGACGGGCAGUCCUUACUUA